rnacentral:rRNA from 1 species
GCGUGAGUGAUGAAGGCCUUCGGGUUGUAAAACUCUUUCGACGGGGACGAUAAUGACGGUACCCGUAGAAGAAGCUCCGGCUAACUUCGUGCCAGCAGCCGCGGUAAUACGAAGGGGGCUAGCGUUGUUCGGAAUUACUGGGCGUAAAGCGCGCGCAGGCGGUUCUUCAAGUCAGUGGUGAAAGCCCGGAGCUCAACUUCGGAAUUGCCAUUGAAACUGUAGAACUUGAGGACGAGAGAGGUGAGUGGAAUUCCCAGUGUAGAGGUGAAAUUCGU